ACGGAAGGCAGCAGUGGGGAAUAUUGCACAAUGGGCGCAAGCCUGAUGCAGCAACGCCGCGUGAGCGAAGAAGGUCUUCGGAUCGUAAAGCUCUGUCCUCAGGGAAGAAGGAAGUGACGGUACCUGAGGAGGAAGCCCCGGCUAACUACGUGCCAGCAGCCGCGGUAAUACGUAGGGGGCGAGCGUUAUCCGGAAUUAUUGGGCGUAAAGAGUACGUAGGUGGUCAUGUAAGCGAGUGGUGAAAGCCCGGGGCUUAACUCCGGCGAGCCAUUCGAACUGCAUGACUUGAGUGCAGGAGGGGAAAGUGGAAUUCCUAGUGUAGCGGUGAAAUGCGUAGAUAUUAGGAGGAACACCGGUGGCGAAGGCGACUUUCUGGACUGUAACUGACACUGAGGUACGAAAGCGUGGGGAGCAAACAGGAUUAGAUACCCUGGUA
rnacentral:rRNA from 1 species